AUUGAACGCUGGCGGCAGGCUUAACACAUGCAAGUCGAGCGGAAAGAGGUAGCUUGCUACUGAUCUUAGCGGCGGACGGGUGAGUAAUGCUUAGGAAUUUGCCUAUUAGUGGGGGACAACAUUUCGAAAGGAAUGCUAAUACCGCAUACGUCCUACGGGAGAAAGCAGGGGAUCUUCGGACCUUGCGCUAAUAGAUGAGCCUAAGUCGGAUUAGCUAGUUGGUGGGGUAAAGGCCUACCAAGGCGACGAUCUGUAGCGGGUCUGAGAGGAUGGUCCGCCAAACUGGGACUGAGACACGGCCCAGACUCCUACGGGAGGCAGCAGUGGGGAAUAUUGGUCAAUGGGCGGAAGCCUGAUCCAGCCAUGCCGCGUGUGUGAAGAAGGCCUUAUGGUUGUAAAGCACUUUAAGCGAGGAGGAGGCUACUUUAGUUAAUACCUAGAGAUAGUGGACGUUACUCGCAGAAUAAGCACCGGCUAACUCUGUGCCAGCAGCCGCCGUAAGAC
rnacentral:rRNA from 1 species